AUUGAACGCUGGCGGCAUGCCUUACACAUGCAAGUCGAACGGCAGCACGGGUGCUUGCCCCUGGUGGCGAGUGGCGAACGGGUGAGUAAUACAUCGGAACAUGUCCUGUAGUGGGGGAGAGCCCGGCGAAAGCCGGAUUAAUACCGCAUACGAUCUACGGAUGAAAGCGGGGGACCUUCGGGCCUCGCGCUAUCGGGUUGGCCGAUGGCGGAUUAGCUAGUUGGUGGGGUAAAGGCCUACCAAGGCGACGAUCAGUAGCUGGUCUGAGAGGACGACCAGCCACACUGGGACUGAGACACGGCCCAGACUCCUACGGGAGGCAGCAGUGGGGAAUUUUGGACAAUGGGCGAAAGCCUGAUCCAGCAAUGCCGCGUGUGUGAAGAAGGCCUUCGGGUUGUAAAGCACUUUUGUCCGGAAAGAAAUCCUUGGCCCUAAUACGGUCGGGGGAUGACGGUACCGGAAGAAUAAGCACCGGCUAACUACGUG
rnacentral:rRNA from 1 species